GGGAGGCAGCAGUGGGGAAUAUUGCACAAUGGGGGAAACCCUGAUGCAGCCAUGCCGCGUGUGUGAAGAAGGCCUUAGGGUUGUAAAGCUCUUUCGACGGGGAAGAUGAUGACGGUACCCGUAGAAGAAGCCCCGGCUAACUUCGUGCCAGCAGCCGCGGUAAUACGAAGGGGGCUAGCGUUGUUCGGAAUUACUGGGCGUAAAGCGCGCGUAGGCGGAUUGGAAAGUUGGGGGUGAAAUCCCGGGGCUCAACCUCGGAACUGCCUUUGAUACUGACAGUCUAGAGUCUGUGAGAGGAUGACGGAAUACCCAGUGUAGAGGUGAAAUUCGUA
rnacentral:rRNA from 1 species